AAAACGAUGUGCUUGUUUAAAAUAUAAAGAAGCAAACAUUCUUAGAGAGAGGAAGCGGGAGUGCAGGAGCAAUUCCAGUGGUCUAAGUAGGCACAACAGGUGGGUUCUUCCAGUGUGGCAAUCGGCACGACACUAACAGCAGCAGGAUUUCCAGUUGUUUCACCUUCUCCAGCCGACAACUAUCACUUUUUCUGAAUUCCAAAAAAAUCCCAGAGGAUAAAAGAACUGGAAACUGGAGUAUGGUGGAGAAUUAUAGUGUGCCUUGCAUCCGGAGACUAAAUCCCAGUGAAAACUUCUGAGGAGACAUGGCAAAUACUAGAGGGAGGAAGAAGUCAUGAACAACUUGCUGGAUGAGAAAACUGAGUUUGCUGGACAGACCACCAGUCCCAAAUCUGGAAAGGUUGAUACAUCUAAAGAGACACUGCUGAGAUGUGCUUAACCUGGAGCAGAACUUGCUGGGGCCAUAACAGAACACAAAAAAUAAUCUGGAGAUGGAGCACAAAAUAAACUGGAUAAGCAUGAGGAAUUUGAGAAAUUAAGAUCAUGUGAGAGCUAAGAGGAUUACAUCUGCUACCAUCUUUGCGGCUUUGGAAGAUUUCAGCUAAAAGGAAAACUGUCAUUAAUUUUUGCAAGUCUGAGAGUGGGCAGAUUUAGAUUCAGGAAAUGAAACUAAUAAUUUUUGAAGUUGUGUGAACUUAACAAGACUUUUGUCCAUUAUAAAGAACCUUAAUUCAGUUUACCAACCCAAGCUCAGUGCAUUUGACCAAAUACACUGAUCCCCUAUAAAAUGAUGCUAGGCUUCUCUGUACCAAAAUAAAUCAAGGACUCAAUUAAAUGAAAACAGAUUACUUCAUGUCUCCAAGCCAAAUACAUUUAGUUCUUUAAGAUGCCCAUUUAAGUGUGAAGGAAUUAGAGGAGGUAGUCAGGGAAUAAGUCUCUUCUAAAAUCUCUAGUUAGAGGACAGCUACAUUUCUUUCAAUUAAAAUUAAAAAAAAAAUAAAGAUCAUCUCCUCCUUCAGCUGUGCUGGCAAUCUGAAUAGUUAAUGCUUCUCUUUGCUCUAAAUUAUGCUCAUUCUUAUCCUUAGCCAUCAGUAGCAAAAACAUAACUUGGAGACAUAUUGAUGGGAGAUAAUUUCACCAUAAAAUGUAUUUGGACACACAAUUAAAAAUAUAAAGUCUUUUUAGCCCAAAGGCAAAUAAACAACUAACCAUAAAACCAAUGCUCUAUGAACCCACAGACACAAAAAAUAAUUAUUUUCCUAUCACUAAGCCAAUAUUUAAAACUAUUAAUUGAUCUCUCUUAGCCUCCCUUGCCAUUUAAGAUAAGGUCUGUGUCUUCAUCCAACUUAAUGUUGUAAAAGCUAGUUAAAUCGAUAAAUUACUAAGACUCUCUUUUUUACUGCUCUAGUUAAGGGUUUGAUUGUUUGUAUUUUAAUUCUAUUUGCAUUCAUGCAAAAAAUAAAUCUCACCGUACUUCUACAACAGUUUUUACUUAUCUUUUUUCCAAGUUACUUCUAUACUAGCCUAAAAAUCCUGGAAACUCAGCAUCAGUGGAUUUAGAAGUCACCUAUUCCUGCAUACUAUAUAAUAGGCCACCUGAUUUUACCAUAAUGGAUUUCAGCUUUUCAAUUAUGGAAUAUCUGUGCUAAGAGAGAGAAUGUGGUAUAAUAAAA